rnacentral:rRNA from 1 species
UACGUAGGCAGCGAGCGUUGUUCGGAGUUACUGGGCGUAAAGAGCUCGUAGGUGGUUUGUCGCGUUGUUCGUGAAAACUCACAGCUCAACUGUGGGCGUGCGGGCGAUACGGGCAGACUAGAGUACUGCAGGGGAGACUGGAAUUCCUGGUGUAGCGGUGGAAUGCGCAGAUAUCAGGAGGAACACCGGUGGCGAAGGCGGGUCUCUGGGCCGAAACUGACGCUGAGGAGCGAAAGCGUGGGGAGCAAACAGG